CAUGCAGCCGAGCGGUAUUUCUUCUUCGGGAGAGAGAGAGCGGCGUACGGGUGCGUAACACGUGUGCAACCUACCUUUAUCAGGAGGAUAGCCUUUCGAAAGGAAGAUUAAUACUCCAUAAUAUAUUAGAUGGCAUCAUUUAAUAUUGAAAACUCCGGUGGAUAGAGAUGGGCACGCGCAAGAUUAGAUAGUUGGUGAGGUAACGGCUCACCAAGUCAUUGAUCUUUAGGGGUCCUGAGAGGGAGAUCCCCCACACUGGUACUGAGACACGGACCAGACUCCUACGGGAGGCAGCAGUGAGGAAUAUUGGACAAUGGGUGAGAGCCUGAUCCAGCCAUCCCGCGUGAAGGAUGACGGUCCUACGGAUUGUAAACUUCUUUUGUAUAGGGAUAAACCCAGAUACGUGUAUCUGGCUGAAGGUACUAUACGAAUAAGCACCGGCUAACUCCGUGCCAGCAGCCGCGGUAAUACGGAGGGUGCAAGCGUUAUCCGGAUUUAUUGGGUUUAAAGGGUCCGCAGGCGGGCCGAUAAGUCAGUGGUGAAAUCUCAUAGCUUAACUAUGAAACUGCCAUUGAUACUGUCGGUCUUGAGUAAAUUAGAGGUAGCUGGAAUAAGUAGUGUAGCGGUGAAAUGCAUAGAUAUUACUUAGAACACCAAUUGCGAAGGCAGGUUACCAUGAUUUAACUGACGCUGAGGGACGAAAGCGUGGGGAGCGAACAGGAUUAGAUACCCUGGUAGUCCACGCCGUAAACGAUGCUAACUCGUUUUUGGGGCGCAAGCUUCAGAGACCAAGCGAAAGUGAUAAGUUAGCCACCUGGGGAGUACGUUCGCAAGAAUGAAACUCAAAGGAAUUGACGGGGGCCCGCACAAGCGGUGGAUUAUGUGGUUUAAUUCGAUGAUACGCGAGGAACCUUACCAAGACUUAAAUGGGAAAUGACAGGUUUAGAAAUAGAUCCUUCUUCGGACAUUUUUCAAGGUGCUGCAUGGUUGUCGUCAGCUCGUGCCGUGAGGUGUUAGGUUAAGUCCUGCAACGAGCGCAACCCCUGUCACUAGUUGCUAACAUUCAGUUGAGGACUCUAGUGAGACUGCCUACGCAAGUAGAGAGGAAGGUGGGGAUGACGUCAAAUCAUCACGGCCCUUACGUCUUGGGCCACACACGUAAUACAAUGGCCGGUACAGAGGGCAGCUACACAGCGAUGUGAUGCAAAUCUCGAAAGCCGGUCUCAGUUCGGAUUGGAGUCUGCAACUCGACUCUAUGAAGCUGGAAUCGCUAGUAAUCGCGCAUCAGCCAUGGCGCGGUGAAUACGUUCCCGGGCCUUGUACACACCGCCCGUCAAGCCAUGGAAGUCUGGGGUACCUGAAGUCGGUGACCGUAAAAGGAGCUGCC
rnacentral:rRNA from 1 species